rnacentral:rRNA from 1 species
GACGAACGCUGGCGGUGUGCUUAACACAUGCAAGUCGAACGGUAAGGCCCUUUCGGGGGUACACGAGUGGCGAACGGGUGAGUAACACGUGAGUAACCUGCCCUCAUCUCUGGGAUAACAGUCGGAAACGGUUGCUAAUACUGGAUAUGAGCUUGCAAGGCAUCUUGUGGGUUGGAAAGAUUUUUUUUGGUUGGGGAUGGACUCGCGGCCUAUCAGCUUGUUGGUGAGGUAGUGGCUCACCAAGGCUUCGACGGGUAGCCGGCCUGAGAGGGCGACCGGCCACAUUGGGACUGAGAUACGGCCCAAACUCCUACGGGAGGCAGCAGUGGGGAAUAUUGCACAAUGGACGGAAGUCUGAUGCAGCAACGCCGCGUGCGGGAUGACGGCCUUCGGGUUGUAAACCGCUUUCAAUUGUGACGAGGCUUUUUUGUGACGGUAGCAGUAGAAGAAGCACCGGCUAACUACGU